rnacentral:rRNA from 1 species
UACGAAGGGGGCUAGCGUUGCUCGGAAUCACUGGGCGUAAAGGGCGCGUAGGCGGCCGAUCAAGUCGGGGGUGAAAGCCUGUGGCUCAACCACAGAAUUGCCUUCGAUACUGUUUGGCUUGAGACCGGAAGAGGUUAGUGGAACUGCGAGUGUAGAGGUGAAAUUCGUAGAUAUUCGCAAGAACACCAGUGGCGAAGGCGGCUGACUGGUCCGGGUUCUGACGCUGAGGCGGCGAAAGCGUGGGGAGCAAACAGG